UUCGUAGGGUGCAAGCGUUGUCCGGAAUUAUUGGGCGUAAAGAGCUCGUAGGCGGUCUGUCGCGUCGGCUGUGAAAACCCGGGGCUCAACCCCGGGCCUGCAGUCGAUACGGGCAGACUAGAGUUCGGUAGGGGAGACUGGAAUUCCUGGUGUAGCGGUGAAAUGCGCAGAUAUCAGGAGGAACACCGGUGGCGAAGGCGGGUCUCUGGGCCGAUACUGACGCUGAGGAGCGAAAGCGUGGGGAGCGAACAGG
rnacentral:rRNA from 1 species